GGAAUAAAACUCUCCCGAGAAGCUACAGGCUCAGCUUUGCUUGAUGGUGUGUUUUCAUGCUCCUUUCUCUUGGAGACAGUCUGAUCACUCAUGACAGAUCCAUUCCGGUAUGCAUCAGCUUUUCCUCUAGUACGUGUGAGAUCUGAUCCAAUAGAGUGGAGAGCACCACAAGUGGAUAGAUCUCUAAAGUUGUUGGCUGAUUCAUGCAUGUUGACAUCCAUAUUGUCUUUUGCUAAGACCUUCUUAACUUCAGCCAGCUUUUCUUCAGUUAGGUCAGACUGGAUAACACGCUUCCCUAGUCUGCGGUAGCUCUUAGCCUCAACGAAUCCAUCUUGUGUCAUUUUAUCAAUGAGCUUCUUCACCACAGUUUGGUUGGCUUCUCCUUCUAGUUUACGUUGGAGCUUGGCAACACUUACAUAGUUCAUUGGAAGAGCAUGAAACAAAGCCUUCAUGUACAUGUAAUCUUCACCCUUGCCACGCUGAGAUCCGUUGCCAUUUUGAUU
rnacentral:misc_RNA from 1 species